UACGGAGGAUCCAAGCGUUAUCCGGAUUUAUUGGGUUUAAAGGGUGCGUAGGCGGCCUAUUAAGUCAGGGGUGAAAGACGGUAGCUCAACUAUCGCAGUGCCUUUGAUACUGAUGGGCUUGAAUAUACUAGAGGUAGGCGGAAUGUGACAAGUAGCGGUGAAAUGCAUAGAUAUGUCACAGAACACCGAUUGCGAAGGCAGCUUACUAUGGUAUUAUUGACGCUGAGGCACGAAAGCGUGGGGAUCAAAC
rnacentral:rRNA from 1 species